UAACAGGAAAUAUAAGAGCAUAUGGUGGAUGCCUUGGUUCUAAGAGGCGAUGAAAGACGUAGCAUGGCUGCGAUAAGCUUCGGGGAGGUGCCUAGCAACCUUUGAUCCGGAGAUUUCUGAAUGGGGAAACCCCAUAACCGUAAUAGGUUAUGACCUACAUUUAAAUGUAGGAGUAUACCCAGGGAAGUGAAACAUCUCAGUACCUGGAGGAAAAUAAAAAAAGCCGCCGAAUGGCGGAACAUUUCCUGAGUAGCGGCGAGCGAAACGGAAAUAGCCCAAACCUACUAUUUAUAGUAGGGGUUGUAAGGCAGAGACGUCGUAUUUAUACGAGAGGAGUUACAAAAUGUAAUGUUAGUUGAAUAUGCUGGAAAGCAUAGCCCUAGACGGUGAUAGCCCAGUAAACGAAAACCUUACAUCUUCUUUGUCUUUGUUCUUGAGUACUUCGAGACACGAAUAGCUCGGGGGAAUCUACCAGAACUAACUGGUAAGGCUAAAUACUCUUAGAAACCGAUAGUGAACUAGUACCGUGAGGGAAAGGUGAAAAGAACCCCGGUGAGGGGAGUGAAAUAGAACUGAAACCAUAUGCUUACAAGGAGUCGGAGCCCCCCACCACUCGUGGUGGGGGGUGACGGCGUGCCUAUUGAAGAAUGAGCCAACGAGUUAAUGUAUACAGCGUGGCUAAGCCCUUGUCGGGUGGAGCCUUAGGGAAACCGAGUGUGAAUAGCGCGUUUGUUGUAUGCAUUAGACCCGAAGCCAGAUGAGCUUACCAUGAGCAGGGUGAAGUUUGUAGAAAUACAGAUGGAGGCCCGAACCGGUUGGCCGUGCGACACCAUCGGAUGACUUGUGGUAAGGAGUGAAAAGCUAAUCGAAUCUGGUAAUAGCUGGUUCUCUCCGAAAUAUGUUUAGGCAUAGCGUCUAGCGUACCCUCUGGGGGUAGAGCACUGGAAGGACUGAACAGGGAGCAAUCUCGUCAGUCCUAUCAAACUCCGAAUACCAGAGAUAGGCCCACCACAUAAUAAUUUUUCGUUGCGAAACGAAAAUUUUUAGCGGAAAUCAUGAAGCGUGAUGAGCCUAUGCGAGCAUAGGCGACGAGCGAUGAAUGAUUUGUAGCAAAAAUUUUAAGUUGUAGCAGAAAAGAUUGUUGUGUGGUGGGCCCAAAUACUAGGCAGUAAGACUACGGGGGCGAAGCUCCGUCGGUCAAAAGGGAAACAGCCCUGAUCUCAAGUUAAGGUCCCAAAAUUUACGCUAAGUGUACUUAAGGAGGUGGAGUUUCUCAGACAGUGAGGAUGUUGGCUUAGAAGCAGCCAUCAUUUAAAGAAAGCGUAACAGCUCACUCACUAAGAGACUCUGCACCGAAGAUAAUCGGGGCUAAGCGUAGUACCGAAACUGAGGGUUCUCUCGUCUUUCGAGAUGGGGGAGCGGUAGGAGAGCGUUCAUGUCUGCGCUGAAGGAGAAGUGUGAGCAACUCUGGAGCGGCAUGAAGUGAGAAUGUUGGCACAAGUAACCACAAUGCGGGUGAGAUCCCCGCACGCCGUAAGAGCAAGGUUUCCUUUGCGAUGUUGAUCAGCGAAGGGUUAGUCGGGCCUAAGGUUAUAGCGAAAGCUGAAGCCGAUGGACAUAGGGUUAAUAUUCCCUAACUUUUUAUUUGUGCGAUGGAGUGACGAAGGUUAGUAUGUCUUGCGCAUUAUUGGAUUUGCGUUUGUGUCAUCAGUGUGACUCUUAGGUAAAUCCGGGAGUCUGGUUUUAAUACCGACCGCAAGUGAAGCAGAAAUGCAUGGGUUCGCCCAGUGCAGAUAAGGCAAAGCAAUUUUCCGAGAAAAGCUUCUAAGCAUAACAAAUAAAAAACCGUACCUAAAACCGACACAGGUGCUCGAGUCGAGUAGACUAAGGCGAACGAGUGAUUGCUUCUCAAGGAACUCGGCAAAAAAGCAGCCGUAACUUCGGGAUAAGGCUUGCCUCCACCACUUUGUCUUUAAAGACGCAUAGAUAAAAUUACUUCAUUAGCGACGUAGAGCGAGAGAAAUGAAAAGGUAUUUUUUCAUUUCCAAGCCGAGGAGCUAAUAUAAGAGGUAACCCUGCUUUUAUUUGCAUCGUUGAGAAGAAUUUUUUCCUCCACGCAAUGUACACUUGUACAUCUUGGUCGUAAAAAAUUCUCCCCGCCUCGCAACUAAAGCAAUUUAAUCAAUGCUUAUGCAAUAGUGAUGGAGUCCGAAGAAUUGAGUGUAUCGAGACCGUGUUUAGUAUCAGAGCUGAUACUAAACACAAAAAAGUAUUUGAGAAAGUGAGUGAUUGUGGGUUUCGUAGAGGGGGGAUUCUGGAUUUAAAUAGAGAAGAUAAGAUUCGCAAGAAUCAAACGACACUCAGGUGUCAACUUCGUUGGGUGCUACCAUCCACUAUUUCUUUGAAUAAUCUUGUCAGACGGGAAACCGCAUAGACUAAAAGAUCGUAAUUAGAUCGAUUCGAAGGUUAACCAUGAACUCUCUCCAUUCUAUGAAACUCAUAAUCAUAGAUCGUAUCAAAUACAAAAAUGUUGACUAAUUUUUCUAGGACUUAGACAUCAUCUCUCAAAAAUCAUUUCGCAUAUCAUCAGUAAAUUUCUGCUGUGACUUUGAGAAAAAUUUUAUUCGAACCUCGGUUCGAGUCAAAUUUUUCUCUUCGUCUCGCUAGAAAUUUCCCUGAAGCUAAGCGAAGCAUUUUAUGAGAAAUGAUGUAGCACCGCUUUGAAAAUAAAGUGGUGGAGGCCGCAGCGAAAGAUUUCCUGCCAACUGUUUACCAAAAACACAGCUCCAUGCGAACUCGUAAGAGGAUGUAUAUGGGGUGACGCCUGACCAAUGCCAGAAGGUUAAAUACGGGUGGUGCCGAGCACCAUGAAGUUAAGUAGAAUUUCGUUGAAUAUUUUUGUUCAGUGGUUCUAUUUGAAAGCAUGGUGCUCGGUGCUGGCUUGUAUAAGCCCUGGUGAAUGUCGGCCGUAACUAUAACGGUCCUAAGGUUCCCUGCUUAUCAAUGAUGAGCAGGGAAGGACUAGGACUGUUAUAGAAAAAAGUAAACAAUUAAUUUAAAUUCAUUACAUGUUUAAGCUACCUGGCACGCAGUAAUGUGUGUUAGUCCAAUCAUGAUAAACGAGAGACCAACGUCAUGGACCCUACUUUUAAGGAAGAGGGUAAAGAUAGAGUCCAACUGAGAGGAAUAGUUGAGCGUAAUUCCUUGUCUGGUAAGUUCAGACGUGCACGAAUGGCGUAAUGAGUGGGAAACUGUCUCGAGAAGCAGCUCGGUGAAAAUACAAUACCGGUGAAGAUGCCGGUUACCUGCAGAUAGACGAAAAGACCCCGUGAGCUUUACUAUAGCUUAAUAUUGAACAUGUUUUGUUUCUGCGUAGCAUAGGUGGGAGGCUUUGAAGCGACCGUUUCGGUGGUCGUCGAGCCAACAGUGAAAUACCACCCUUAAUUGAGGCAUGUUCUAAUCUGUAAGGAAAAAACUUACGGAGACAGUAUUUGGCGGGUAGUUUGAGUGGGGCGCUCUCCUCCUAAAAGGUAACGGAGGAGUCUAUUAAGGUCCUCUAGGCGCGAAUGGAAACCGUGCCGAUAGCGUAAUGGCAAAAGAGGGCUUAACUGCAAGACGGACAUGUCGAGCAGGUGCGAAAGCAGAGCAUAGUGAACCGACGACACGCUUUAGAUGCGGUCGAAGAUUAACGGAUAAAAGCUACCACGGGGAUAACAGGCUAGUUCUGCCCAAGAGUUCAUAUCGACGGCAGAGUUCGGCACCUUAACAUAAUCGGGGUGCGUCAGGAGUAAUCCUGUAGCGACAAAUUUAUAAUCGUCAAUAAAUAAUAUAUAAACAAGAAAUCUUGGCUUAUAACGGUGAAACCCAUUUGCAUGAACAAUAAAUGGGCAAUACCGUGGGAAGUUUGCGUGUAAGAAAGCGAUCACUCUAAAUUUUUAGAGAGCUGCUACAUCCUUUGUGGAUGUGAUUAUACGUAUAACCCUGUAGAGACUUGUCACGUUAGCGCGUAGAGAUGCAACUAACAAAGUGACGGAGUUAUGAGAAAAUCAUAGCUAAUACGCCAACGCCUCUUUUGAUCGAGAGGGUGAAGAUAUAGUCCGAUCCUCGCAGUAAUGCGAGACAAAUACGACAGCGAUGUCGGCUCAUCUUAUCCUGGAGGUGGAGAAGCUUCCAAGGGUUUGGCUGUUCGCCAAUUAAAAAGAUACGUGAGCUGGGUUCAAACCGUCGUGAGACAGGUUGGUCUCCUAUCUUCUGCAGGCGUUGAAUUUUGAGGGGAUUUGCUCCUAGUACGAGAGGACCGGAGUGAACUGACCUCUGGUGUGGCUGCUGUCCUGCCAAGGGCACCGCAGCGUAGCUAUGUCGGGAAUGGAUAACCUCUGAAAGCAUCUAAGAGGGAAACCAACCCCAAGAUCAGAAUUCGUUUGAGGCCCGUAAGAGAUGAUUACGUUGAUAGGCUCUAUGUGUAAGACGAGUAAUCGUUUCAGCAGAGGAGUACUAAUACGCCGAUUCCUGGUGGG
rfam:Candidatus Nomurabacteria bacterium CG2_30_43_9 cg2_3.0_scaffold_4245_c, whole genome shotgun sequence.